AGUGAACGCUGGCGGUAGGCCUAACACAUGCAAGUCGAACGGCAGCACAGUAAGAGCUUGCUCUUACGGGUGGCGAGUGGCGGACGGGUGAGGGAUACAUCGGAAUCUACUUUUUCGUGGGGGAUAACGUAGGGAAACUUACGCUAAUACCGCAUACGACCUACGGGUGAAGGCAGGGGAUCUUCGGACCUUGCGCGAUUGAAUGAGCCGAUGUCGGAUUAGCUAGUUGGCGGGGUAAAGGCCCACCACGGCGACGAUCCGUAGCUGGUCUGAGAGGAGGACCACCCACAUUGGAACUGAAAACGGCUCCGGCCCCCGAGGGGGGGAACAAGAGGGGAAUUUUGGCAAUGGGGGGCAGGCUGGAACCGGCAAGCCGGGGGGGGGAAAAAGGGCUUUGGGUUGGAAAGCCCUUUUUUUUGGGAAGAAAAAGCAGCGGGUUAAUCCCCCGGUGUUUUGACGGUACCCAAAGAAAAAGCCCCGGCUAACUUCGUG
rnacentral:rRNA from 1 species